GAUACCAAAUCAUUAAGUAAUGCAAACAGUGAAGUUAUUGAACAUGAGAAAACAAAUUCCUCGCAGUCACCAUCCCAACGGACUGUCACACCAAUUUCAAGUACAGUUAGAUGUAGAAGGACUCUUUUUAAGGACGUUGAAGGCUUGUGUUCAACACAGAUAACACCAAGAAAGCAAAAGUUGAUGGUUAUUGUGAACAGGAAGCAGGGUCGCAUAAGAAAAUUACAAAAAGUUUGCAAACAAAAAGGGAAAAGGAUUAAAACUUUAGAAAAUAUAGCAAUGAAUAAUUGUUUCAAAGGCAUGCCAUCUACCAUAUCUAACUUUAUGAUGUCUCAGAUUCGAUUUAGAGAAUAAGCUACCGAUUAUUUGUGAAAAGAAUAACCUACAAGAUGUAGCAACAAAUUUGCUUAACCAAGAAAUUGAUUUCUCAUUUAUUACUUGUGAGGAACAUUUUUAUUUUUUGAAAGAUUUUUUACUUAAAAGUAUAUGUAGAAUCGGAAUCCCAUGGUACUGUACAAGACUUGUCCGAAAUUUAAGAUCUGAAGCCAGCCGGCAAAUGUCAGCACGCACAAAAAGAAAAAUUUUGCAUAAAUAAUAACAAUACCAUUAAAUGUCUACUUCUUGGACAAUUCAUACACCUACAGUACCAUCAAAUUCUGAUUCAUUGGGUCCACAUUUACAAACAACUUUGUCCUCUUGCAUAACGUUUUGUUUCAGUUUUCUUGGAAUCCCUAUGAUCUAAUGUUACUAGUUCUCAUUCAGUCUGUGUUUGUUAUGAAAAGAUGUGGCAUAGCAUUAUUAUUAUUGUGAAUCUUUGUUGUACUUAUGCAAAUACAAUUUGACAAAGCUCAA